rnacentral:lncRNA from 1 species
CCCCUAGGUUGGAUUUUAAUUUCAACAAAAAUUAUUUAUUUACUAAUUUAAAUGCUCACAAAAUUUCUUAAAUAAAUCAAAUUGAAUCCUAUUAAUUGAAAUCAAAUUUUGGGUGUUACAAAUUUGAACCACUUGGACGUGUCUCAUGGUUUUUCAUCAAAAGCUCAUUAUCUUGUUCAGCCACAAGCAAACAAGAAAUAAGUUCAGAAUAUUUCUUGAAUUCUUUCUCACGGUAUUGAUGCGGAAGCAGCACAUUUGAUGCAUGGAAUGUAGAGAAUGUUUUAUCUAGCAUCUCUUCCUCUGUUACCUUUUCUCCACACAACACAGUAAUAGUGAUGUGAUUCUAAACAUGGCUGAAUUGUAUUCAGAAACACUUUUAUAAUCUUGCAACCUUAGGUGCAACCACUCAUAACGAGCUUAGGGAGG